rnacentral:rRNA from 1 species
UACGGAGGAUUCGAGCGUUAUCCGGAUUUAUUGGGUUUAAAGGGAGCGUAGGCGGGUUGUUAAGUCAGUUGUGAAAGUUUGCGGCUCAACCGUAAAAUUGCAGUUGAUACUGGCAUCCUUGAGUACAGUAGAGGUAGGCGGAAUUCGCGGUGUAGCGGUGAAAUGCUUAGAUAUCACGAAGAACUCCGAUUGCGAAGGCAGCCUGCUGGACUGUAACUGACGCUGAUGCUCGAAAGUGUGGGUAUCAAACAGG